ensembl:snRNA U2 U2 spliceosomal RNA
AUCGCUUUUCUCGGCCUUUUGGCUAAGAUCAAGUGUAGUAUCUGUUCUUAUCAGUUUAGUAUCUGAUACGCCCCGAUUGGGGCAACGAUUAAACGCAUUUUAGAACAGGGAGCUGAAUAAGGGGCUCGCUCCGUUCGCUCCACGCAUCGACCCGGUAUUGCAGCGCCUCUGGGAACGGUGCCCCCUUU